UACGAAGGGGGCUAGCGUUGCUCGGAAUUACUGGGCGUAAAGGGAGCGUAGGCGGAUAGUUUAGUCAGAGGUGAAAGCCCAGGGCUCAACCCUGGAAUUGCCUUUGAUACUGGCUAUCUUGAGUGUGGGAGAGGUUAGCGGAACUCCGAGUGUAGAGGUGAAAUUCGUAGAUAUUCGGAGGAACACCCGAGGCGAGGACGGCGCU
rnacentral:rRNA from 1 species